rnacentral:snRNA from 1 species
AGCGGGGUAAAGCCAGAGG